AUUGAACGCUGGCGGCAUGCUUUACACAUGCAAGUCGAACGGCAGCACGAAAGAGCUUGCUCUUUUGGUGGCGAGUGGCGAACGGGUGAGUAAUGCAUCGGAACGUACCGAGUAAUGGGGGAUAACUAUCCGAAAGGAUAGCUAAUACCGCAUACGCUUUGAGAAGGAAAGUGGGGGCUCUUCGGACCUCACGUUAUUCGAGCGGCCGAUGUCUGAUUAGCUAGUUGGUGGGGUAAAGGCCUACCAAGGCGACGAUCAGUAGCGGGUCUGAGAGGAUGAUCCGCCACACUGGGACUGAGACACGGCCCAGACUCCUACGGGAGGCAGCAGUGGGGAAUUUUGGACAAUGGGCGCAAGCCUGAUCCAGCCAUGCCGCGUGUCUGAAGAAGGCCUUCGGGUUGUAAAGGACUUUUCUUAGGGAAGAAAAGGAUAGUGUUAAUACCAUUAUCUGAAGACGG
rnacentral:rRNA from 1 species